rnacentral:tRNA from 1 species
UUGUAGUUUCAACUACAGAAAC